rnacentral:lncRNA from 1 species
AUAGUAUCUACUCCCCUCUCUUGCUUUACUGCUCUUCUGCUGUCCACAAUCAAACUAAUGCCUCCUAAAGUCCAAUGCUCAUGUUUUCCUGCUUCUGUUUCAACUCAGCUUUCCAAUAUCCUUCAUUCAAGGCGUUCCCCAAAUCCUGCCCCAGUUAACUGGGAUUGAGAUCCGAAUUAGCUCUGGCUCUGCCCCACUGAAACAUGGCCCCUUAAUGACAGUUUCUUUCACCCCUUCAUCCAAAGGCAACCUUACAUGUUUAGUAACUACUGUGUGGGUUUCUUCACAGUUCAGUGUCCAAACCUUGCAGUGGUCAAUAGGAUGGAUAUUUCUCUGUUAGACUGGAAGUUCCAGGAGGGCAGGGAUUGUGUGUUGAACAAGUUUGGUAGAGUCUAAAAGGCAGGGCCAGCAGGUAGGUGCUGAGUAUGCUUUCCUUCUGUUUUUACCAACCACACGCAGGCUGUUUUCAUAUAAUCAGGAUGAAUCUAAUUUUAAAAUGAACAACCGUGUGUCCUUAGAUGAACCAGAAUAUACACUUACAAGGCGCUGCUGUCCUGCAUUAUAAAUAAGGGAAUAGUUUGUCCUGCAGAAAAGCUCUGCUGUUCUUUUCCCUUAAAACAGCAACAAACAAACCAAAAAACGUCUCCAUACGUAAGAACUGAGAUAGGUCUUCCUGUCUCCUCACCUGAGUUGGCAAGAAAUCAGGGCCCCCAAGUGGAUAUUCUCUGCAAAGAUGAAACCCAGCAAACAUCCACAAUCCAAGAAGAAAGCCUUCUGAGGAUUUAUGAAGAAGCAUCCUUAAGAAUGGCUGACUGUGAGAGUUCCCUCAUGGCUCACUGGAUUAAGGAUCCAGCGUUGUCAUUGCUGUGGUGUGGGUUCAAUCCCUGGCCUGGUAACUUCUGAGUUCCUUCAGGGCCACAGGAAAAGGCUGAGGCUCUUGGAAAGUGUCAGCUGUGCUGCUCUUUGCAGACCUAUUGCUGGUGUGUGGAACCCCUGGUGCGCUUUGCUACAUGGAGUCCCUCAAGCUCCUAGCAUUUUCUUGAGAUUUUUAGCAUCUCAGAAUUCCCAGUACAGGGAAGAGUGAUUUAACAUCACCCUGAGGGGAUUUACAGUUCACUUCGCUUUGUCUAGCAGAGUUUUGAAAAUAGCUGUUUCAUUUUGCUAUUCUGUGGUUUUAAACCCCACUGGUAAUUCAUUAAAGUUCAUUUGAACUAUGGCAGCUGUUGUUUUCAUCUUUGCCUCUUCUCAGCACUGGAAUAAGACCCCCCCUUCUUGGAGUAGAGUGUUACUUAUUUGAGUUCUUGUAGAAGUUUGACUUCAGGGGCAUUUGAGACUCACGGGGAUUGUGCCCACAUUCCCUGCCAGCCUUGAGCAAAAGAUGUGGCUUUGCCUGUUCCCUCGUUGGGAGACAGAGGAGUGUGGCUGAAGUUGGGUUUAUGGUGGUCUGAAAGAAGUGGGUUGAGAGCCUGUGGCUCAGAGUGCCAGUGAUUCUGCACUCAGGACCUGGAAAUGAGCAGAUCAGCACCUCUUAAGAGGUGGCUGCUGUGGACCCAGAGAAGUCUCACAUUAAAGGAACUUGAGGAUCAAGUGGUCUCCAGCCCAGUAUUCCUUCAAAAGACUCACCAUUAAAGUUGGGUUCCCCAGAAGCAGACCCUGAGAUGAGAAUUCAAGUGCAAGUUCUUUUAGGGGGAAGGUGAAGAAAACACCCCCAGGAGAGUGGUGCCUGAAGACUGCCUACAGAAGCAAUUCAUUUCCUGGCAUUUCAGCACUGCUUCUUGGCCAGCCAAGAACACACCUCCAGGCAAGAGAAUGCAGUUUUUGGCAGUCAGAAGACAAGCUGGUGGGCACUGAACUGGUGCUGAUGAGGAUGGGGUCGGGCACCAGGCAGCCUUUCUUGUCAGUGGCAUGAUACCCUGGAGGGCAGCCUGUAAUCCUCAUUUCUACCCAAGGACCACUGGCCUCUUUCGGACUUCUGCUGGGUUCUCACUCACCAUAGUCUGCCUUCAUCUGGAGAGGUGGAGCUGACCCCACCAGCAGAUGGUUCAGGAUCAGCUAGAGAGAGAUGUGGUAAAACAGGGUGCACAGCCAAGCCCCUGACCCCCUUCCUUAGCCUCAUCUCUCCUUGUUCUCUCUGAGACCUUGCUCAUUGUCUGUGAUGGCCUCCUGGUCCUGGUGGGUGCAUUUUCCUUCCUGAUAGCAUCUGCUCUGGGCUCUCCCAGGCUUUUUUGGUCCCCCAGGAGCAUGGUUUCUCAGCCUGGGCACUAUUGACAUUUGGGGGCAGAGAAUUCUUUGUGGUGGGGGCUGCCCUGUGCAUGACAGAAUGUUUAGCACCAUCCCUGCCCUCUACUCACUAGAAGCCAUUAGAACGCCACCCCUGAGUCAUGAUAAUCAGAAACAUCUCCAGAGUUCCUGUUGUGGCUCAGUUGGUUAAGAACCCGACUAGUACCCAUGAGGAUGCAGGUUCCAUCCCUGGCCUUGCUUAGUGUGUUAAAGAUCUGGCAUUGCCAUGAGCUGUAGUGUAGGUCUCAGAUGAGACUCUGAUCUGGUGUGGCUGGCAGCUGCAGCUAUGAUUCGACCCCUAGGCUGGGAACUUCCAUAUGCCACAGGUGCAACUGU